AUUGAACGCUGGCGGCAGGCCUAACACAUGCAAGUCGAGCGAGCGGCGGACGGGUGAGUAAUGUAUGGGGACUGCCCGAUAGAGGGGGAUAACUACUGGAAACGGUGGCUAAUACCGCAUACUAUCGGAUAACCCAUAUGGGAUUAGCUAGUAGGGGGGGUAAAGGCUCACAUAGGCGACGAUCCCUAGCUGGUCUUAGAGGAUGAACAGCCCCACCGGGACUUAGACCCGGCCCAGACUCCUACGGAGGCAGCCGGGGGGAAUAUUUCACCAUGGGCGCAAGCCUGAUGGCGCCAUGCCGCGUGUAAUAAGAAGGCCCUUGGGUUUGAAAGUACUUUCCGCGGGGAGGCGUUACCCGCAGAAGAAGCACCGGCUAACUCCGUGCCAGCAGCCGCGGUAAUAC
rnacentral:rRNA from 1 species